ACGGAAGGCAGCAGUGAGGAAUAUUGGUCAAUGGACGCAAGUCUGAACCAGCCAUGCCGCGUGCAGGAAUAAGGCCCUAUGGGUCGUAAACUGCUUUUGUGGUGGAGCAAUAAGUCGUACGUGUACGGCGAUGAGAGUACAUCACGAAUAAGCAUCGGCUAACUCCGUGCCAGCAGCCGCGGUAAUACGGAGGAUGCAAGCGUUAUCCGGAUUUAUUGGGUUUAAAGGGUGCGUAGGCUGUGGUCCAAGUCAGGGGGGAAAGCCCGGAGCUCAACUCCGGAACUGCCUUUGAUACUGGAUUGCUGGAAUACGGAUGCCGUGGGAGGAAUGAGUAGUGUAGCGGUGAAAUGCAUAGAUAUUACUCAGAACACCGAUUGCGAAGGCAUCUCACGAAUCCGUCAUUGACGCUGAGGCACGAAAGCGUGGGGAUCAAACAGGAUUAGAUACCCUGGUA
rnacentral:rRNA from 1 species